rnacentral:rRNA from 1 species
CCUACGGGUGGCAGCAGUGGGGAAUAUUGGGCAAUGGGCGCAAGCCUGACCCAGCAACGCCGCGUGAAGGAAGAAGGCUCUCGGGUUGUAAACUUCUUUUAUCAGGGACGAAGCAAGUGACGGUACCUGAUGAAUAAGCCACGGCUAACUACGUGCCAGCAGCCGCGGUAAUACGUAGGUGGCAAGCGUUAUCCGGAUUGACUGGGUGUAAAGGGCGUGUAGGCGGGAAAGUAAGUCAGAUGUGGAAACCAUGGGCUCAACCUGUGGCCUGCAUUUGAAACUGUUUUUCUUGAGUACUGGAGGGGCAGACGGAAUUACUAGUGUAGCGGUGGAAUGCGUAGAUAUUAGGAGGAACACCAGUGGCGAAGGCGAUCUGCUGGACAGCAACUGACGCUGAGGCGCGAAAGCGUGGGGAGCAAACAGGAUUAGAUACCCCAGUAGUC